rnacentral:rRNA from 1 species
CAACUUUCAGCAACGGAUCUCUUGGCUCUCGCAUCGAUGAAGAACGCAGCGAAAUGCGAUAAGUAAUGUGAAUUGCAGAAUUCAGUGAAUCAUCGAAUCUUUGAACGCACCUUGCGCUCCUUGGUAUUCCGAGGAGCAUGCCUGUUUGAGUGUCAUUG